UUCUUCUUGUUUUUAUAUGAGGUAUAACCUGCCCAAUGAUAUUUUAAAUGGCCGCGGUGAUUUAUCGUGCAAAGGUAGCGUAAUAAUUUGUCUUUUAAUUAAGGUCUAGAAUGAAAGGUUUAACUGGAGAUUAACUUUUUUAACUAAAUUUUUUUGAAAUUUAUUUUUUAGUCAAAAAGCUAAAAUUUUACUAAGGGACGAUAAGACCCUGUAGAAUUUAAUUUUUAUAGUUUUUAAUUUUGAAUUUAAUUUAUUUCUUUUAAUUACUAUAAUAAUUUGGUUGGGGCGACUGUUAUAAUUUAAUAACUGUAUCUUUUUUUGAUCAUUAAUUUAUGAUUUUUUGAUCCUUAUUUUUGGUUUAUGAGAAAAAAUUACCUUAGGGAUAACAGCGUAAUUUUUUUGGGGAGUUCUUAUUUAUAGAGAAGAUUGCGA
rnacentral:rRNA from 1 species